AAUUUCAGUUCCAAUUUUGCCCCUAUCAAUUUAAUCUAAUAGUUUUUUUAGGUAUGUAACGUGUGUAAAGUGUGUAAAAUUUUGUUACAAAAUGAUUUUUUUUUAGCUUUUUAGCCUUUUCUCAUUAUCUCUUUUACCUUUUUAUUAUAUUGUUCUAUUUUUUUUUCCUCUCACAGACACGAUUCUCAUCUGUAUUUUAUUUUUCUAAACUUUACUUUCUAAUUAUUAUUUUAGUUUCUUCCA
rnacentral:lncRNA from 1 species